UGCCUAGGAAAUUGCCUUGAUGUGGGGGAUAACCAUUGGAAACGAUGGCUAAUACCGCAUAAUGCCUACGGGCCAAAGAGGGGGAUCUUCGGACCUCUCGCGUCAAGAUAUGCCUAGGUGGGAUUAGCUAGUUGGUGAGGUAAUGGCUCACCAAGGCAACGAUCCCUAGCUGGUCUGAGAGGAUGAUCAGCCACACUGGAACUGAGACACGGUCCAG
rnacentral:rRNA from 1 species